GAGUAUUCAUGGUUAGAGUCUCAGUCUCUAUUACGGGCCCUAGUACACUUCAGGAACUCAAAAGCUUUGCUGAUAUAAUGCAAGGUGAUAAAAAAGUAGAAAGACUUGGGAUAAUCUUGAUUUCUGAAGGCAUCAAACGGGAAUUAGAGAAAGCAGCAGGAAAAACGAAGGCCUUUUUAAGUUCCAUGAGAACUACGGUUUGCAAGACUGGUCAAAACAGUACAAUGCAAGCGGCAAGAAUCAGGAAGUGCACAGAAACAAGAAGCUCGGUGCACACUGGGAUCAGGCAAGCAUCUGGGAGAAGACUGUAGCAAGACUGGAUCCUGAGAAAUAUACAGAGUUCAGAGGCUCCAUGGCUACACUUUGGGCAUGUAUGUCAUUACAGGAAUGAAAAAAAGAUGAUGGCCAAAUGCUGUAUUAAAAUCCCAUUAGAAAUGCCGGGAGAAAUUUAUGGCCCCAAUCUCUUUUAUCUGACAGCAGUUCCCAUGUGAUCCAUCAGGCUCUGAACAUGAAUUUUAAUGGGCUCAGAACCACUUCUCUACCCUGAGGUCACAGGCUGUCAGAGUGAAUCUUCCACAAACUGAUUGGAACCUGAAGAAUUUGCUCUGUCAAGAGAGAGAUUAUUACAUCGCAAGACAAUGCAUCGCUCCAGCAAGGAUAACAAAGCGAAUGGGAAGGAAAGGGUUAUGAAGAGUUCAUGGAAGGCACCUUAGGCAGACUACUUUUAGGAAAGAGUGGAUGUGGAAGCUAAGUAUCUGGAAAUUGAUUUCCUUAGAACAGUUUGUGUUUGCAUGUCUUCUGAAAGGUUUUAUGUACUCCCAAGAGUAAGUAUACCUGUUUGAAGAAGCUGCUCAAUAUAGUUCUUAAAAUAGUCUACAAACAUGUUACCCCAGCAUAGUAAGAAAUAGGAGUACAGCCAGAAAUGAGAGUGGGAAUGAUUAGAGAGACCUCUUUGAGGCCUUGGUCGUGGGCAGGAGCACAGUGGGCCGGGCUCUUUCUAGAUGUGCUUUAAUCAUCAGGAAUUCUGAUACAAUUAUAUUUUGACUAUGAUAUAUAAGCUUCAUUUGAUUACUGUUGCCAAAUAUUUUUUGCUCUUCACGAAGUAAACCUCUUUUUAAAACUUUUUAACUGGCAAAUAAUAAUUGCAUCUAUUUAGGGAGUACAUUGUGAUGUUUUGAUACAUGAUUACAUUGUGGAAUGAUUUAAUCAAUCUACUUAAAUUUAGUGAAAAUAACUUAAGCUAUUAAUCUCAGCCUUGGUGGCUUCUCCUAAUUUAUGCUUACACAAGAGGCUAUCUUCAUUGUGAAAUGUCACAGACUCUCACAAGCAAGAGAAGAAAAUGUAGAGAAGCCCCUCAAAUAAAAUGCAUUAGGUUAAUUCAUACCGACAAAUGUGACACACUUAAAAUUGUUCCUAACAUCAGUUCAUGAUUUAUUUCAAAAGUUCUUAAUAUUCAAAAAUGCUCAAUAAUUUAAAGUAUUUCAAUGUAUAUAGCAAAUAAACCCUGCUAUUAAAACAAAAGAAUCAGGUUCAUUUCAGAAGAGUGAAAACUAGCAAGAUCUUACUGUAAAUCAACUGUUUGUUUUCAAUUAUUUGGCAUGAGAUCUUACAUAUUUUUAACCCAUGUUUUAAUUCUCGUAGAUACCCUGUUGCAAAAGUUCUGAAACAUUGUGAGAAAAAGUGUUUUUGUAGCACUUUGGCAAUGGGAGCCUCACUUCACUCUGUUAUGUAAUGUCCCAUCCAGUUUUUAGUUAAACCUGGAAACACCUUUGUCCUUAGGUGAAGCAGCAAGUCUUGCUUAAGCAAAGCUGGUGAAAUCAGAGCCUGGUCCAAGGCUCAGAAGCGUUUGCGGGGAAAAGCAAACACUUUUUGUGGGAGAAGGAAACAAAGGAGAAGAGAGGAGGAGGAAGAAAUUGAAAAAGAAGGGGAAGAGAAGAGGAAAAGAAAAAGAGACGUUGAGAGAAAGAAAAACAGAGAGCUGUGUGUGAUUGGAUGCCAUGACUCCUCAGUCUUAGUGCUAAUGCCGUUGUUACCUAACUCUAUUUAGGGAACUUUCCAGAACAAAGCGAAGCUUUGUGGGCCUGGCUUUCAGAACUUAUGCAACAAUUGUUUUGGGAGCAGACUGAAAAUUUUACAAGAGAACUGAGUUUUCAAGAGACUGACGGUGUGACCAAAAGAUCAAAGGUUUGGUGCAGUGGGACUAAGUUUCAGGCAGCCUUUCAAAUUGUGAAGACUUUCCUCCCUGUUAUGGCAGUUAAGACAUGUGAAAAUGGUAGUUCGAGACACUUAUAAGCAACUUUCUUCUUAGUUCACAAUGUUCCAUGAAUGUCAGUGCCCUCCAAACUCACGAGAACAAAGCAGGCAACCAGGAUGAUUACUCCCAAAUCAUUGAUAAAAGGAGAGAGAAGUACAGAGAUACACAGUGAUUUGUGUGGGUUGCCAAAAAGUUGCACGGAGGAAACACAGAUAAAUUAAAUACUGGUUAGCAAUCUUUAAUAACCAGGAGAUGCUUAACAUUUAUUUAGAAAUCUGCAACAUUUUAUAAAUCAUUGUUUUGGCUUCUGGGACAAACUCAGAAUCUGGAACCCACGGAAACCCUUCAGUUACACAAAGGCUUUCCAGUUCAUUGCUACUGCACUGAAGAACAGUCUUCACAACUAUACCUGGAACUUACUAGGCCAAGAAGGCAAGGCGUUGGUAUGUGUUUUUAUUGUAGUUAAACUUAUCUGGAUUUAAAAGGCAUUAACUAUCUUCUGAUUUCUUCCUUUUUCUUCAAUUGUACAAGAGUGUUUCAAUUGAAUAUUGCAACUGAAGACAUUCACUCUGCGUUGAUCACCUAUGGAGUGAUCAAAUUUCAACCCUUUGAAGUUUCCUAAAUGAAAGAGGCACUCUGAAUUCAAAGGCUGUUUGAAUGAACUGACUGCUUCAGCACUGUCUUGUAGAUAUAGUCCAUUCAAAUAAAAGACAAAUAUCUGACUGAAUUUUGUUAGCACGUUAAGACAUGUAUUAUAAAAAGGUUUAAGAAGAAAAUAAUGGCCACAAUUCUUCAGAAAACAUGUGAACUAAUGUGACAAAACACUGUGGUGUUGCAAACUCAAGUGCUGCUCUGGCCAAGUCACCUCGCUGAAAUCUCCACUUCCACUUGUGCAACCUACCAAGCCACUCUCUACACAGCUGCCAGAGUGAUUACAAAAACAACGCGGGAUUAUGCUACCCCUGCUUAUCUAAAAUUUGUCAAAAUGCCCGUUACACUUUGAAUAAAAUACAGAUUCCUCUCAGAUCUCAUUUCUUAUCAUGUCUUUCUCAAUCAUUAUGUUCCAGCCUCACUGACCUUCUUUCUGUUCCUGUAAAAUAUUCCUGCCUCAAGGGCGCAGGCCUACGACCUGCAGUUCUCUUUUUCCCACAUGUGACCAGGCUCUCUCUUAGCCAUCAGGUCUCAAAUAAGCUCUUUCCGUUCUGUCUAGGCAUCUUAUCAAAAUCAACCUGUGUAUUAUUAUUCAUUUAUCACAUAAUCUUGUUUUAUUUUCCUCAUAGCACUCUCACUUUCUGAAAUUA
rnacentral:lncRNA from 1 species